GUCCCUGUAGUGCAAUGGAUAGCACGUUGGACUUCUAAUCCAAAGGUCGUGGGUUCGAAUCCCACCUUGGAUG
rnacentral:tRNA from 1 species